GUUUUUAGAAGGGGAAGAAUCUAUAAAAGGCUUUGCGAGAAGAAAAUUCCGCGUAAUUGAUAUUUGUUGAGGUGGAAAAUGAAGAUACUGGUGAUUUUGUUGGUUACUAUGAUAGCAGUUCAAGCUGCCCCAAGUUAUUUGGCAAGUCCCUGGUUGGCUCCAACGCUUCCAAUUCACGCCCCAUUAAUAGUGAAAACGGUACCCAUAGCUCCAGUAGUUCACACAGCUCCAAUUGUGCCGAUUGUUAAAGCUCCAAUCUGGCAUGGCCCAUUACUGUGGCAUUGAAAUUAAAAGGCAUAUGUAUUUUUGAUAAAUUUAACAUGUAUUCAAUAUAGUUUUUGUCAUUGAAAAA